CGCGACGUCCCGAUAGGCACUCAUUACCCCGAAUACCGAUCGAAACCCCGCAAGGCUUAGCAUCAGCUUCUGCAUCUCUCUAGUGAGCGACAGUUAUUAAAUCUCACAUUUCAAAAAAAAUCAUAAGUCAUUUCCAAAUCAAAACAAUAAAAUAUUACUUUCUGGCUCACAGGGGUAUUUUCGUCAUUUUUCUUCGAAAAUAUCGAAACUCGCCAAAAACAUGGUGUAAAAGCUAAAUAUAUUCAUACAUAUUUUAAAUUAAAUAACUGAAGAAUAAAAUUUCUUUUACAGUGACACGUGGGCCCCCAACUGACUAAGAAAAUGUAGGGUUACGAACCCUUACUUUCUAAGAUGCAACUCCGAGAUUAAUUCUCGUCUUAAUCAUCUAUCAACAAAUUGUCUUGAGCCUAAAAAAUGGAUAGGAAGAAGGGGUGAGAUUAUAAAAUCCCAGUGAGUAGACAGACAUCAUCAAAAUAAUCUAAAGCCGAGUAAUAGGAGACAAUUAAAAUAAUUCAUCUUAACCCAUAUAAAUAAUUGGAUUUCAUCCAAUUACUCAACAUGGCUUAUGCACUUUUCAAAAACUUGGCCCUUGCCAAAAAUCCAUUCUCGGGGAUACCCCGUGAAGGCAUCUUACCGAGACCGCCAAGGCUAUUUAUUGUCACACACACAAACACAUUUCACCUCUGACAACACAGCCGUCCUUCGGUGUUGACUGAGUCCCAGUUUCACGUGGUGGCUAGCGUGAAAUGUACUCAAAUCCUACCUCGGGAGUUAUCCUACGCGCCUCUCCAAUCAAGGUAAGCUCAAUAAUUGAGAACCGUGCCCCUCUAAUUAGGUUGGCCCACGGAACCCCCGUCACUGUAGUACCCACUUUAUAAUCCACCAACCAAUAAAAUCAUAAUAGUAUGACAUGGCUCACUUAACACAUUCAAGGCAAAUCAAAGCAGUUCACAUAUUCUUUAAAUCAUAAAAAUAACCAGUCAUACCCACAUUUAUCAUAAGCCAUUUAAUGUAAAAUCAUAGAUAAACAACACAAUCAUAGUAUAGGUCUCCAAUUACUCUAUUUUUGAAAUCAUUAUUAAAUUUUCAAAAAUUUUAUAAAAUUAUUUUAUAAAAUCUCAUUUUCCCAUAAAACACAAUAAUUUUCCAAUUAAACCAUUUUUCCAUAAAAUCACACAAUUAAAUAAAUCUACUCUAGAUAAUUAAGACGAUAGUAAGUUUACUCACAGUUCUAGGAGUCGAUAUACUCCUAUUUUCAGUCCGCGGGUACAGUCCUUUACCCGUAUCUAAUGGCUCACCACCUAGCCAUAAUCCAUGGCACAUAUUUCAAUUAAAUUGUGUCUAACAGUCAUAAGCUAUUUCAGGCUCGAUAUAUAUGCAUGAUAUGAAAUGAAAAAUGCACAGGUAGCCAUCUAGACCCGGUAUUGACCUAAGUCGAUUUUUCAUCCAAUAAAUUGGCCAAUGCGUCCAAUUUCACUCCAACUUGCUCCAUUUCUUUUCCAAUCCCUCAAUUCACCAAGCACAACUAAUUAACACACAAUUAGGCA
rnacentral:lncRNA from 1 species